rnacentral:rRNA from 1 species
UACGUAGGGUGCGAGCGUUGUCCGGAAUUAUUGGGCGUAAAGAGCUCGUAGGCGGCCUGUCGCGUCGAUCGUGAAAACUGGGGGCUUAACUCUCAGCUUGCAGUUGAUACGGGCAGACUUGAGUUCGGUAGGGGAGACUGGAAUUCCUGGUGUAGCGGUGAAAUGCGCAGAUAUCAGGAGGAACACCGGUGGCGAAGGCGGGUCUCUGGGCCGAUACUGACGCUGAGGAGCGAAGGCCAGGGGAGCAAACGGG